CAGAUAGACCUGAGCUAGCACAUUAGCAUGUUCGGUCACCUCUCCAAGUAAUACUUUAUACUGCCCUGGGACUCUGUAGAGAGUCCCUACCAGCAAGAAGGCUCUCACCAGAUGUGGCCCCUCGACCUUGGAUGUAGCCUCCAGAAUUACUCUAGAAGUAAGGAACCAAGCGCCUCACUGGUGGUGUGGAAGAACUGGGAUUCCCCACAGUGCAGUGGAAAUUCCUGGGAGUCUCGAACCACAUAUUUUCCAUCGACUACAUCCAAAGCUCUGCAAAGAACGGAACCACAGUCAUGUCAAUACACUAUGAACAAUGCCAAAAUCUCAAGAAACCCAAAGGCAUAUUUCUCCAUGUAUUAAUAUAUUUCCAGUCAGCCCAAAUAAUGAAUCAUUCUUCAAAACCUACACGGCGUUGUAGAUAAUUUGGCGCUCUCAUAGCACAUUUAUAAAUAAACCUGGAUGACUUCACCCUGUGCCUAACUGAAUUCUUUUAAAUCCUAUGCAGAAAACAAAUUAGAGAUAGAUAGAGGUAGACAGAAACUAGAUGGAGAGACAGAUUUUGGCAUGAAAGUAAUCCAAUUUCAUUUUCCAGUUUCCUGGUUGUUCUAUGUCGUGGCUUUUAAGAAAUAACAAAAAGAAAUUUGUAAGUUUCCUGAACACUGGAAAUAAAGUGGGAACUGAAUCCCAGUUAGAGAAACAAUCUAGACUAUGCCAGGAAAUGGGAACUGUUCCUAGGAUUAUAAUAUUUAUCAGAUUCAAAAGGAAUGGAAACUAAUAAAGGCAGAAAGAAUGUUUUACAGACUCUGAUGGUUGCCUACCCCAAAGCCAUUCCCUUUAUCCAACCCUUCACUGUUCUCCCACCUCCCCCAUACACACUGCCUUUGCUAAUAAUCCUAAAUUUGUUCAGCAAUUCAUCCUCCAUAUGCCUCAGAGAAAGCUGCUCCCAGCCCCAGUAGUCAGUCGGGAUUGCUCUAACCCUGGUGUCCAGUUUCCCUCACCAGUAACUGAUUUAGGCAAAUGCCCAUAUGUAACUGUCUUGCUUAUGUUACCACAUUGAUUGAUGUCUCCCUGACCCUCUAAAAUGUUCAUACUUUGCCCUGCUUCUCUGGCCCAGUCCUGACCAAUGGGAUGUGAGAGGCGUCUGCUGAAGAAAUGGGGGAAAAGGUCUUCUACAAGAAGAGAAAGUUUCCCUUUCCUGCAGGCCAGUGUCAUGCCUGCAUGUGAUGAAUAUGAUAGAACAUCUUGGGACCAUGUGCAGGAUUAGCCUAAGGAGACUAGAUUGAGGAAAAAGCAGAGAGGAAAUACCUAUCUCUUGAUUUCUUGAAAUGAGAAGCAGAAUUACCUAUCUCUGGAGUUCUUGUUGUGUUAGAUAAUAAACGUCCUAUUCUUC
rnacentral:lncRNA from 1 species